UUACGGCCGUAUCACGUUGAAACGCCGGAUCUCAUACGAUCACCGACGUUAACCAACGUUGAGCCUGGUCAGUCCUUACAUGGGUGACCACUUGUGAAUACAAGGUGCUGUAAG